GCGCUCAGGCGACGACGGGUAGCCGGCCUGAGAGGGUGACCGGCCACAUUGGGACUGAGAUACGGCCCAGACUCCUACGGGAGGCAGCAGUGGGGAAUAUUGCACAAUGGGCGCAAGCCUGAUGCAGCGACGCCGCGUGGGGGAUGACGGCCUUCGGGUUGUAAACCCCUUUCACCAGGGACGAAGCUUUUUUGACGGUACCUGCAAAAAAAGGACCGGCCAACUACCUGCCCACAGCCGCGGG
rnacentral:rRNA from 1 species